GACGAACGCUGGCGGCGUGCUUAACACAUGCAAGUCGAACGGAAAGGCCCUGCUUUUGUGGGGUGCUCGAGUGGCGAACGGGUGAGUAACACGUGAGUAACCUGCCCUUGACUUUGGGAUAACUUCAGGAAACUGGGGCUAAUACCGGAUAGGAGCUCCUGCUGCAUGGUGGGGGUUGGAAAGUUUCGGCGGUUGGGGAUGGACUCGCGGCUUAUCAGCUUGUUGGUGGGGUAGUGGCUUACCAAGGCUUUGACGGGUAGCCGGCCUGAGAGGGUGACCGGCCACAUUGGGACUGAGAGACGGCCCAGACUCCUACGGGAGGCAGCAGUGGGGAAUAUUGCACAAUGGGCGGAAGCCUGAUGCAGCAACGCCGCGUGCGGGAUGACGGCCUUCGGGUUGUAAACCGCUUUCGCCUGUGACGAAGCGUGAGUGACGGUAAUGGGUAAAGAAGCACCGGCAAACUACGU
rnacentral:rRNA from 1 species